UUGGCUGGCAAUGAUGUCACUGAUAAUCCCAGCUCUAUGUGAUCUUCAAUUGGAAGGUCCAGGAGUAUAUGUUAUCAUUUUAUGUCCAAGCUUAUAA